GUCACUUUGCCGGAGUGGUUAACGGGAUCGCCUGCUACCUUUGUAGUCCAGCGGUUGGUCUUUGACCGCGAGUGUUCGAAUCGCUCAGGUGAGG
rnacentral:tRNA from 1 species